GAGGUUGUGGCUCAGCGGUAGAGUGCUCGCCUAGCACGUGUGAAGUGCUGGGUUCGAUGUUCAGCACCACA
rnacentral:tRNA from 1 species